rnacentral:misc_RNA from 1 species
GAUGAAGAACGCAGCGAAAUGCGAUACGUAAUGUGAAUUGCAGAAUUCAGUGAAUCAUCGAGUCUUUGAACGCACAUUGCGCCCCCUGGUAUUCCGGGGGGCAUGCCUGUCCGAGCGUCAUUGCUGCCCUCAAGCACGGCUUGUGUGUUGGGCCUCCGUCCUCCUCCCGGGGGACGGGCCCGAAAGGCAGCGGCGGCACCGCGUCCGGUCCUCGAGCGUAUGGGGCUUCGUCACCCGCUCUUGUAGGCCCGGCCGGCGCUUGCCGAUCAACCAAAACUUUUUUCCAGGUUGACCUCGGAUCAGGUAGGGAUACCCGCUGAACUUAAGCAUAUCAAUAAGCGGAGGA